rnacentral:sRNA from 1 species
GUCUGAGACUGCGAGAGGGUCGUAACCAUGAGGGGUUCCUGUGAGAGGUCUGGGGAGGAUGAAGAGCAGAAAGAAGAGGCUAUGGCGGCCUGUGGGCGUCUUUCAGGGGUCCCCGAGGCCGAGCAGGGUCCCGAGGCCAAUUGGGACUCCGACCUGGAGACGGAAGGCACUGAUGGGCUUGGAGAACUGGUCAGGGACACACUGUACCUGAGGUCUUGCCGGGCCCAUAGUGUUGUGCCCAUCUCCUGCUUUCUGCGCCAAGGGAGCGCCCAAGAGCUGAACCUCCGGCACCGUGGCCUGGGGCCCCAGGGCGCCCGGGCUCUGGCUUCCUCAUUGAGCUCCAAUCCAUAUGUCAAGCGGCUGGACCUUCGAGACAAUGGGCUCUGUGGGGCAGGUGCAGAGGCCCUGGCAGGUGCCCUGAGCAAAAGCAGCAGCAUCCAUGGUAGGUGCUGGGUCUGGGGCAGGUGGGCAGGCGUGUCCUCCUUUUCCUCAGGGAUGUGCCUCCAUCGUUGAAAGCUGGGCCGUGUCACCUGGGGCCUGCUGGUGUUGCUGGUGGAUAGAAGAGGGGCCUCAUCACAGGAGGGGGCAUGUGGGGUGGAGUUAGACCCUCUGCUGUGCAGCCAAUGCCGGAUAGAAGCCGUUUCCUCACCCACCCCACACCAUCACUCCCCUCCCUUGCUGGCCAGCAUCCCCCUCUUCACCUAGCACAUGGGAGACUCCCAGUACCUGAAUGCAGGAUGGGAGAGUCCUUCCACACAGAGAGGUGGGAGUUGGGCAUUGUAAGAAGCAGGUAGGCAAUGUGGGAGUUUGAUGGGGCUGGAUCCAAAUGCCAGUUCUGCCACUGAAGAGCUGGAUACCUGGGCAAGCAGCUUAACCUCUCUGAGCUUCAGUUUCUGAUCUGUGAAAUGGCCCCCACAAUACCUUAUGGGCUUGGGGCUGUGGUGAGCAUGAAGUGAAAUGCACUCCUGAAGUGGUCAGAAGAGUGUGUGACCCAUGUAAGUGCUCCAUGCAUGGCCACUUGGGCUAUUAUUGCCAAUCCUGGCAACGGGGCUGUGAGGGCUUCUGAAGUGGGUGGUGAUAUCACUGCCAGACGCAGCCAUCGACGGUAUGGCUGCCCCCCACCACAGCAGUCUCUACAGUACCAGGAGGUAGGCGGUUUUAACCGCUUGACACAGAAGCUGGUGGGCACACAGGGAGGGGGAGGUCAGGGGCAGAGGGGACCCAGCCAUUGGGAGCCAGAGCCACCAUGCAACCCCAGGACAGUUAACCUGUAAGGCCCCUUCCUCAGCCUCAGACCUGGAGGUUUGGGGGAUGGCAGAAGUGGGGGGGUGCCUGGCUUUGCAUCCCACUGGCCGAGGAGUGGUUCUGUCCCCCAGAUGUGGACCUGUCGGAGAACCAGCUGGGAGUGGCAGGAGCCCAGGCCCUCUGUGCCGCCCUCACAGUGAACCAGGCCAUGCGGAAGAUGCAGCUGUCAGGGAAUGGCCUGGAGGAGCAGGCGGCCCAGCACCUUGCCGAACUCCUGCUGGCCCACACAGACCUGAAGUCCCUGGACCUGAGCUACAACCAGCUGAAUGACCAAGCAGGGGAGACACUUGGACCAGCCCUGGCAGAAAACACAGGACUCACCGAGCUUAACGUGAGCUGGAAUCACCUCCGGGGCCCAGGAGCUGUGGCAUUUGCCAGGGGACUGGAGGCAAACAUCUUCCUUAAAGUUCUAGACAUCUCAUACAAUGGCUUUGGGGAUCCUGGAGCCUCUGCGGUGGGUGAGGCUCUGAAGGCCAACAACGUGUUGGAGGAACUCAACAUGAGCAACAACCGCAUCUCUGCGAUGGGAGCCCUGAGCCUGGGCCUGGGCCUCCGGGUCAACCAGACGCUGAGGAUUCUUGUACCUCACCAGAGCAUUCUGUCUGACUAUCUGAUGGAGACACCUUCUGAGCCGAGACAGUGUGGCCAUAGUGGCUGUGUCCUCAGAGAUGAGGAGCCCCUCCUUCCCUUUCACAUUGCUCUCUGGCCUUCCCGGACCUGGCUUCUCGCAGCUUUGUGUGCGUGUUUCUCAGGUGUCCAGGAAUCCCAUGCGAAGUGAAGGCUGCUUUGGUCUCCUCAAGUCUGUCCAGGACAAUCCAGCCUCUGCCCUGGAACUGCUGGAUUUCUCAGAUAUCCAGGUGAACGCAGAGUUUGAUGGCCUUGCUAGCUCAGUGAAGGGAAUUCUUCCAGAACUCUGCAUAAAGACUGGCGCUUGCAGAGUGGAGUAUAAAAAGGAGUUGCUGCCAGUCUUCAGAUCAGCCCUGCCAGCGUCUGUCCCUAAGUGACCUUGGAGUGUGGCUUCCUCAUCUCCAAUCAGCUGCUUCGACCUCCAGGGUAUAUACUUAAAAGAAAUGAAAACAUAUGUCCCCACAAGAACUCGUGCACGAAUAUCCAUAGCAACAUUAUUUAUAAUAUUCUAAGAGUGAAAAUGCCCACCAGUGGAUAAAUGCAAUGUGGUAUAUCCAUACAGUGGAAUAUUAUUUGGCAAUAAAAAGGAAUUUGAGGUGAUAACAAUGUUCUAAAAUGUAUUGUGGUGAUGGCUACAUAACUGUGCAUAUUCUAAAGGCAAUUGAAUUAUAGAUACUUUAAAUGAAUGAACAGUAUGGUAUGUGAAUGACAUCUCAAUAAAACUGUUUCGAAAAGAAGGAAAAGUACUGACACAUGCUAAAAAUGGAUGAAACUAGAAAACAUGAUGCUAAGUGAAAGAAGCCAGUCACAAGAUCACGUGUUGCAUGAUUGCAUUUAUAGGAAACAUCCGGAGUACACAAAUCUAUACAGACAGAAAGUAGAUUAUAAAUUGCCUAGGCGUAGAGAAAUAGAAGGAUUGGAGGUUGACAGCUAAAGGAUGUGGAUUUCUUUGGGGGGGUGACACAAAUGUUCUAAAAUUGAUUGUGGUGAUGUGCAACUCUAUGAAUAUGCUAAAAACCACUCGGUUGUACAUUUUAAAUGGGUGAUUUAUGUGGUAUGUGAAUUACAUCUCAAGAAAGCUGUUGCAAAAAAUAUACGGGUUGAGCCUGGUGGUAUUAAAAAAGUAUAAACAUGGCUGGGCAUGGUGACUCACACCUGUAAUCCCAGCACUCUGGGAGGCUGAGGUGGGCAGAUCACUUGAGGUCAGGAGUUUAAGACCAGUCUGGCCAACAUGGUGAAACCCUGUCUCUACUAAAAAUACAAAAAUUAGCCAGGUGUGGUGGUGGGCGCCUAUAAUCCCAACCACUCGGGGGGCUGAGGCAGAAGAGUUGCUUGAACACAGAAGGUGGAGGUUGCAGUGAGCCAAGCUCACUCCACUGCACUCCAGUCUGGGUGACAGAGCAAGACUCGGUCUCAAAAAAAAAAAAAAAAAAAAAAAAAAAGGAAGAAUCAGGCUCAGCGCACUGGCACAUGCUUGUAAUCCCAGAAAUUUGGGAGGCCAAGAUGGGAGGAUCACUUGAAGCCAGGAGUUCCAGACCAGCCUGGGCAGCAUAGUGAGACCCCCGUUGCUAUAAAAAACAUUUAAAAAUUAGCUGGGCAUUGUGGCAUGUGCCUGUCGUUCCCGCUACCUGGGAUGCUGAGGUGGGAGGAUCACUCAAACCUGGGAGUUUGAAGCUGCAGUGAGCCGUGAUUGCACCACUGCACUCCAGCCUGGUUGAGAGAGUGAGAACCUGUCUCAAAAAAAAAAAAAAAAAAAGAAUGGAAGGAUCAAACUGGGCAUGGUGAUGCAUGCUUGCCUGUAGGCCCAGCCUAGAAGGGACGCUGAGGCGGGAGGAUCAUUUGAGCCUGGGAAUUUGAGCCCAGCCUGAGCAACAUAGUGAGAUCCUGUCUAAAAAAGAAAAAAAGGAAGAAUCAAAUAAUUGUUCCAAAGUCUUUCAAAAGGAGUAUUGAGUCCCAGCUUGGCACUUUCCUGAGCAGGGAUAUGUCUCCUCUCCUUCUCACUAAGGAGCCAGAAACUCACCCCUUCUCACUAAAAAAGUGAGAAAAAUAAAAAUAGCUCAGAGCACUUUGAGCUAUGUGAAGUACGCAGAAUUUAUCAGGCCCGGAGACAUGAAUAUGGGACUUCAGGCAGGGCAUGAUGGCUCACGCCUGUAGACUCAGGAGGCCAAGGUGAGCCCAAGGUGGGAGGAUCACUUUAGUCCAGGAGUUUUGAGACCAGCCUGGGCAACAUCAGGAGAUCCUUGUCUCCUCAAAAACUUAAAAAAAAAAAAAAAAAAAAAGCUGAGCAUGGUGGCACACACCUGUAGUCCUGAGUCAGGAGGUUGAGGCUGCAGUGAGCUAUGACCAUACCAGUGCAUUCCAGCCUGGGUACACAGCGAGACCCUGUCUCAAAAUAAUAAUAAUAAUGUGCUGGGUGCAGAGGCUCAUUCCUGUAAUCCCAGCUCUUUGGGAGGCUGAAGUGGGUGAAUCACUUGAGGUCAGGAGUUCGAGACUAGCCUGGCCAACAUGGUAAAACCCUGUCUUUUCUAAAAAUACAAAAAUUAGCCAGGUAUGGUGGUGCAUGCCUGUAAUCCCAGCUACUUGGGAGGCUGAGGCAGGAGAAUCGCUGGAGCCCAGGAGGUGGAGGUUGCAGUGAGCCGAGAUCAUGCCACUGCACUCCAGCCUGGAUGACAGAGCAAGACUCUGUCUCAAAACAAAACAAAACAAAACAAAAAAAUAAUAAUUAUAAUAAUGAAAAGAAAAAGAAAUGAAUAUGGGACUUCAGUAACAUAUUUCUUAUCCAUGCCCGGGGGCAAUUGUUUAAAGGCAUUUUGUUCCUGACUAGCUUAACCCAUUAUCUUCUUGUUUCUGGAAUUUAGAUACAAAGAAUAAUGUAUAGACAA